GAUGAACGCUGGCGGCGUGCCUAAUACAUGCAAGUCGAGCGAAGCGGGGACGGGGGAGUAACACGUGGAUAACCUCCUUUAAGACCGGGAUAACGUCGGGAAACCGGAGCUAAACCGGAUACUUAGAGAUGGAUCCGCGCUGCAUUAGCGAGUUGGUAAGGUAACUGCUUACCAAGGCAACGCUGCAUAGCCGACCUGAGCGGGGUAGCGGCCACACUGGAACGGAGACACGGGCCAGACUCCUACGGGAGGCAGCAGGAGUGAAUCUGCCGCGAUUGGCGAAAGCCUGACGGAGCAACGCCGCGUGAGUGAUGAAGGGCUUCGGAUCGUAAAACUUUGUUAUUAGUGAAGCGGUACCUAAUCAGAAAGCCACGGCUAACGACGGGCCAGCAGGCGCGGUAAUAC
rnacentral:rRNA from 1 species